GAAACCGUGUACGUACAAGCAGUGGGAGCACGCUUCGGCGUGUGACUGCGUACCUUUUGUAUAAUGGGUCAGCGACUUAUAUUCUGUAGCAAGGUUAACCGAAUAGGGGAGCCGAAGGGAAACCGAGUCUUAACUGGGCGUUAAGUUGCAGGGUAUAGACCCGAAACCCGGUGAUCUAGCCAUGGGCAGGUUGAAGGUUGGGUAACACUAACUGGAGGACCGAACCGACUAAUGUUGAAAAAUUAGCGGAUGACUUGUGGCUGGGGGUGAAAGGCCAAUCAAACCGGGAGAUAGCUGGUUCUCCCCGAAAGCUAUUUAGGUAGCGCCUCGUGAAUUCAUCUCCGGGGGUAGAGCACUGUUUCGGCAAGGGGGUCAUCCCGACUUACCAACCCGAUGCAAACUGCGAAUACCGGAGAAUGUUAUCACGGGAGACACACGGCGGGUGCUAACGUCCGUCGUGAAGAGGGAAACAACCCAGACCGCCAGCUAAGGUCCCAAAGUCAUGGUUAAGUGGGAAACGAUGUGGGAAGGCCCAGACAGCCAGGAUGUUGGCUUAGAAGCAGCCAUCAUUUAAAGAAAGCGUAAUAGCUCACUGGUCGAGUCGGCCUGCGCGGAAGAUGUAACGGGGCUAAACCAUGCACCGAAGCUGCGGCAGCGACACUAUGUGUUGUUGGGUAGGGGAGCGUUCUGUAAGCCUGUGAAGGUGUACUGUGAGGUAUGCUGGAGGUAUCAGAAGUGCGAAUGCUGACAUAAGUAACGAUAAAGCGGGUGAAAAGCCCGCUCGCCGGAAGACCAAGGGUUCCUGUCCAACGUUAAUCGGGGCAGGGUGAGUCGACCCCUAAGGCGAGGCCGAAAGGCGUAGUCGAUGGGAAACAGGUUAAUAUUCCUGUACUUGGUGUUACUGCGAAGGGGGGACGGAGAAGGCUAUGUUGGCCGGGCGACGGUUGUCCCGGUUUAAGCGUGUAGGCUGGUUUUCCAGGCAAAUCCGGAAAAUCAAGGCUGAGGCGUGAUGACGAGGCACUACGGUGCUGAAGCAACAAAUGCCCUGCUUCCAGGAAAAGCCUCUAAGCAUCAGGUAACAUCAAAUCGUACCCCAAACCGACACAGGUGGUCAGGUAGAGAAUACCAAGGCGCUUGAGAGAACUCGGGUGAAGGAACUAGGCAAAAUGGUGCCGUAACUUCGGGAGAAGGCACGCUGAUAUGUAGGUGAAGUCCCUCGCGGAUGGAGUUGAAAUCAGUCGAAGAUACCAGCUGGCUGCAACUGUUUAUUAAAAACACAGCACUGUGCAAACACGAAAGUGGACGUAUACGGUGUGACGCCUGCCCGGUGCCGGAAGGUUAAUUGAUGGGGUCAGCGCAAGCGAAGCUCUUGAUCGAAGCCCCGGUAAACGGCGGCCGUAACUAUAACGGUCCUAAGGUAGCGAAAUUCCUUGUCGGGUAAGUUCCGACCUGCACGAAUGGCGUAAUGAUGGCCAGGCUGUCUCCACCCGAGACUCAGUGAAAUUGAACUCGCUGUGAAGAUGCAGUGUACCCGCGGCAAGACGGAAAGACCCCGUGAACCUUUACUAUAGCUUGACACUGAACAUUGAGCCUUGAUGUGUAGGAUAGGUGGGAGGCUUUGAAGUGUGGACGCCAGUCUGCAUGGAGCCGACCUUGAAAUACCACCCUUUAAUGUUUGAUGUUCUAACGUUGGCCCCUGAUCGGGGUUGCGGACAGUGUCUGGUGGGUAGUUUGACUGGGGCGGUCUCCUCCUAAAGAGUAACGGAGGAGCACGAAGGUUGGCUAAUCCUGGUCGGACAUCAGGAGGUUAGUGCAAUGGCAUAAGCCAGCUUGACUGCGAGCGUGACGGCGCGAGCAGGUGCGAAAGCAGGUCAUAGUGAUCCGGUGGUUCUGAAUGGAAGGGCCAUCGCUCAACGGAUAAAAGGUACUCCGGGGAUAACAGGCUGAUACCGCCCAAGAGUUCAUAUCGACGGCGGUGUUUGGCACCUCGAUGUCGGCUCAUCACAUCCUGGGGCUGAAGUAGGUCCCAAGGGUAUGGCUGUUCGCCAUUUAAAGUGGUACGCGAGCUGGGUUUAGAACGUCGUGAGACAGUUCGGUCCCUAUCUGCCGUGGGCGCUGGAGAACUGAGGGGGGCUGCUCCUAGUACGAGAGGACCGGAGUGGACGCAUCACUGGUGUUCGGGUUGUCAUGCCAAUGGCACUGCCCGGUAGCUAAAUGCGGAAGAGAUAAGUGCUGAAAGCAUCUAAGCACGAAACUUGCCCCG
rnacentral:rRNA from 1 species